rnacentral:misc_RNA from 1 species
GCAGAUUCCGUGAUCAUCGAAUCUUUGAACGCACCUUGCGCUCUAUGGCAAUCCGUAGAGCAUGCCUGUUUGAGUGCCAUGAAAUCUCCCACCCCAAGCGGUUUUUAAAUGAAACGGCUUGGCGGAUGGGGUCUGGAUGGGUGCCUCUGCCUGCGCUACCUAGCACAGGCUCGCCCGAAAUGCAUGAGCGCCUUGAGACACUUUGCAUCCGCCUCUCUGUUUGGGAGGAGGCGGCCAAGCAGUGUUUUUUUUCUUGGCUGGGCUUGAUACGUCUUUUGCUUUGCCCCCUAAAGGAGGAAGGUUGGGUUGGGUUGGCUUGGGCUUCGAAUUUGCCUUUGGGCCCCUUCCCAUUUUCCUUUCGGUCUUCAAUUCAGGUAGGAUACCCCGCUAACUUUAACCUAACCAAUAACCGAAGAAA